UCGUAACAAGGUUUCCGUAGGUGAACCUGCGGAAGGAUCAUUACCGAGUGCGGGCUGCCUCCGGGCGCCCAACCUCCCACCCUUGACUACCUAACACUGUUGCUUCGGCGGGGAGCCCUCUCGGGGGCGAGCCGCCGGGGACUACUGAACUUCAUGCCUGAGAGUGAUGCAGUCUGAGUCUGAAUAUAAAAUCAGUCAAAACUUUCAACAAUGGAUCUCUUGGUUCCGGCAUCGAUGAAGAACGCAGCGAACUGCGAUAAGUAAUGUGAAUUGCAGAAUUCAGUGAAUCAUCGAGUCUUUGAACGCACAUUGCGCCCCCUGGCAUUCCGGGGGGCAUGCCUGUCCGAGCGUCAUUGCUGCCCAUCAAGCCCGGCUUGUGUGUUGGGUCGUCGUCCCCCCCGGGGGACGGGCCCGAAAGGCAGCGGCGGCACCGUGUCCGGUCCUCGAGCGUAUGGGGCUUUGUCACCCGCUCGAUUAGGGCCGGCCGGGCGCCAGCCGACGUCUCCAACCAUUUUUUUCAGGUUGACCUCGGAUCAGGUAGGGAUACCCGCUGAACUUAAGCAUAUCAAUAA
rnacentral:misc_RNA from 1 species